rnacentral:rRNA from 1 species
CCUACGGGUGGCAGCAGUGAGGAAUAUUGGUCAAUGGGCGCGAGCCUGACCCAGCCAAGUAGCGUGAAGGAUGACUGCCCUACGGGUUGUAAACUUCUUUUAUAAAGGAAUAAAACGAGGCACGUGUGCCUUUUUGCAUGUACUUUAUGUAUAAGGAUCGGCUAACUCCGUGCCAGCAGCCGCGGUAAUACGGAGGAUCCGGGCGUUAUCCGGAUUUAAUGGGUUUAAAGGGAGCGUAGAUGGGUUGUUAUGUCAGUUGUGAAAGUUUGCGGCUCAACCGUAAAAUUGCAAUUGAUACUGGCAGUCUGGAGUGCAGUAGAGGUAGGCGGAAUUCGUGGUGUAGCGGUGAAAUGCUUAGAUAUCACGAAGAACCCCGAUUGCGAAGGCAGCUUACUAAACUGUGACUGACAUUGAUGCGCGAAAGUGUGGGUAUCAAACAGGAUUAGAUACCCGGGUAGUC